UAAAAUAGCAUGCUUAUGCUGUGGGUGAUCCAUAAAUAUAUGUACAUUGUGGCUGUUUCUUUUCACUCUAACAUGUUGGAGAAAGUACAUGCUUGUUGCUUAUAGAAAUUGCUAAAGUCUAUUAGUAUUUGUGGCAUUUCUUGAAUCUACUAUGUUUUUAAUUGGUUCUUUCUUCCCUCACAUUGAGCAAAUAAAAGUCCUGAUUGCUUGAGUCUAAUUGGCAUUUUGUUAUGUACGCAUGGUUUUAACUUGUUCCAAAAUGCAU
rnacentral:lncRNA from 1 species